rnacentral:rRNA from 1 species
GAUGAACGCUGGCGGCGUGCUUAACACAUGCCAGUCGAACGGAAAGGCCGAAGCUUGCUUCGGUACUCGAGUGGCGAACGGGUGAGUAACACGUGGGUGAUCUGCCCUGUACUUCGGGAUAAGCUUGGGAAACUGGGUCUAAUACCGGAUAUGACGAUCUCUUGGAUGGGGUUGUGGAAAGCUUUUGCGGUAUGGGAUGAGCUCGCGGCCUAUCAGCUUGUUGGUGGGGUAAUGGUCUACCAAGGCGUCGACGGGUAGCCGGCCUGAGAGGGUGUACGGCCACAUUGGGACUGAGAUACGGCCCAGGCUCCUACGGGAGGCAGCAGUGGGGAAUAUUGCACAAUGGGCGCAAGCCUGAUGCAGCGACGCCGCGUGGGGGAUGACGGCCUUCGGGUUGUAAACUCCUUUCGCAAUCGACGAAGCCUUUUGGUGACGGUAGGUUGAGAAGAAGCACCGGCUAACUACGUG